rnacentral:rRNA from 1 species
CCUACGGGGGGCAGCAGUAGGGAAUUUUGCGCAAUGGACGAAAGUCUGACGCAGCAAUGCCGCGUGUAGGAAGAAGCAUCUUGGUGUGUAAACUACUGUCGGUGGGGAAAAACAAAAUGAUUGUACCCGCAGAGGAAGCAUCGGCUAACUACGUGCCAGCAGCCGCGGUAAGACGUAGGAUGCAAGCGUUGUCCGGAUUUAUUGGGCGUAAAGAGUUCGUAGGCGGUGAUUCAAGUCUAAUGUGAAAUAAUAGGGCUUAACUCUAUUCCCGCAUUGGAAACUGGAUCACUAGAGUAAGGUAGGGGUCAGAAGAAUUCCUGGUGUAGCGGUGAAAUGCGUAGAUAUCAGGAGGAACACCGGUGGCGAAAGCGUCUGACUGGACCUUUACUGACGCUAAGGAACGAAAGCUAGGGGAGCGAAAGGGAUUAGAUACCCCAGUAGUC